rnacentral:lncRNA from 1 species
GAAAAUCUGGCCCCAAGCUUCCUUCUCAUACAUUCUAUAUAAGGAGAAAACCUAGAACUUAAGGGGGGGAGCCGCCACUCACUGCUUCUUUUUCCUUAGGUGAUAUUAUUUUUCCUCCUCACUAAACCUCCUCGAGUCAUUGAAAAUCAGUCAUACAAUUAUCGCAAACCCACCCCGAAACAAAUGUAAUUCCACUAGUUCGUCGCUACUGCUUUAGUUGUACAACCACCAGCGAAACACCACCCAAAACAGUCCCUUUUCUCUGUUAAAACCUAGUUGGAAAAUGCAGCAAAAACCCCCCCUUUAAAACAAUCGUAGUUCUUCCUCAAAGCAGCGUGCAAUUGGGUUGAGUCGGGUUUGAGUUCAUGACGAGAUUCCGUUCAUGGUUCCGGCGAGGUCUUCCAUCACGGAUCUAUCACGUGUUGUAGUAGCUGUUAUUCCAAAUUUUAUAAAGGAUCUCUAUAUAUUGCAAGUCUAAAUUGCUAAGCUCAAGGUCCAUUUCUACUUUAGAUCUUUAUUUCGUGCAUAGCUUGAUGUUUAAUGUUGCUGAGCUUAUAUUACUUGCGCACUGUUUAUAUAUUUAUGUGGUGAUUCGUUCUUAGUUUGAGAAUUAUUGUGAUGUUAUGCUGAUUUUCAGUUUCUCUCGUUAGCUUUGCAACUGCAUUUUAGUAUAACAAUUGUGGCUUAGAGUUAAUUCGUAUGUUUCAAGUUAUUUACUAAACGGAUCAGUUGAAUAGGAUUUUAUUAGAAUUAGGGAAUGAAGAUUCAAUGUGAUAUUUAUGGCAGUCUUACAAAAUUGAAGUGGGUCCUCGGCUUUUGACUUUUAAUGGUUAUUGAGUUUAGGCUGAUUUGACAGACUCGCUUGCGUAGCGUGAUAUUUAAUAUUUAAUAAAUUAAUUUUAUAAUCUCCAUAGCUUAAUUAUUUACUAAUUUAAUUAAUCUCUUGUUCUAAUCGCGAAUUCGCUUGCGUAACGCGAUAGUGGCAUUUAAUAAUUUCCUUAAUCACAAAUUUAGUAAUUUCUCAAAAGUACUAUAAUUAUUUGAUUGUCAUGAUUCCAGAUUCGCUUGCGAUGCGCGAUUAUGAUAAGUUAAUUAAUUUUAUUUUUGAUCACGCAUUCGCUUGCGUAGCGUGGUCAUGAGAACGUAAUAUUCUCCAAAUUAUUCUUUAGUAGUUCUAACAAUCACGCAAUAAAAGCGGACAUAGGAAAAAAUUGAAAAUCAUAUAAAAAACAGUUUGUCCAAAAUUUAUUCAAGCCAAGUAUAAGUCAAUAAAAGUGACCAUGCUAGAACCACGGGACUUGGAGAAUGCCUUACACCUUCUCCCCGGUCAACAAAAUUCCUUAUCCGGACUUUGUUUUCGCAGACCAAUAUUAAAAGAGUCAAACCUUCAUUUGACUAGGGAUUCAAAUAAAAGAGGACUUGGGACACCGACAAAUUAAUUUCAAGUGGUGACUCUGUAAAUAAAAUAAUCCCUACUCAAGCUUGUCACUUUAAUUGGAAAAACUCUUUAACCCAGAAUCCAUAACAUACAUUAUCUUUUGGAGUUGGAAGCCCGUGGAACAAUUCAUCGCAUUUUGGCAAAAUUAGAAAGUUGAUGUGUUCUAAUUAUAUUAUUUUGUGUGCGGAUGAGGACUAUUAAUAUGAUGGAUAUCAAUUGGAUGUGAUAACAAGUGUACGAGACAUAUUAUAAGUGAUGUGGGGUCUAAGGAGAGGCCUAAGUCUAAGUCAAGUUGGAAAUUUUAUGAUAGGCUAAAGUUUCAAAUGAGUACGCAUAAGACCAAAUUUUGGACGAACAUAUAUACAUAUAUAUAAGGAGUUAUGUGAUGGACAACUCAUAAAAUGAAAGAUCUUCGAGUAUACUUUCUAACUCUUCAAACCGUUCAUCAUUUGGACAUUCUUAUAAGAAGUUAUGACCAAAUUACCAAAAGCUAGUAGAAACACUACCGCGCCGUCCCACGCGGCGCGCCUGUGGAAAAUUCUAGAACGCUCCAAAAUUUCAUUUCCAUAUACUUUUUGCACAGCCGCAACGUGCCGCGGAUGUACAAAAAUGGGUUUUUAUUACUCGAACCCCAUUUUAUUUUACUCGAUUGGGCUUUAUUUUUUGGGUAAUUUUUGGUGUUUUAGAGAGAAGGGAGAGCGAUUCUAGAGAGAGGAAAGGGGAGAACUAUAGAUUUCACUACUCUUCUUGAAUCAAACCUUGAAAACGCAUUAAAGGGUUACUAGAGCUUCAAAGAGGUAAGAAUUUCUUUCCCCAAUUCUUCAAUUUCAAAAUCUAACUAGAAAUGGGUAAUUAGUAAGAUGAUUCUUGGAUGUGAGAGUAUUAGUUAUACAUGCUUGUACCAAUAAGGUUGUGGGGAGAUUUUUAAGUUCAAAUGGGUAAACAUUGGGUUGAAAAAUGGUAGAAAUCUUCAAAGACUUUAAUUGAAGAUUUGAAGGGCAAUCCGAUGUCAGAAUUUAAUAAUUUUUAUAUGGUUGAACUCGUAUUGGAACGGGUGUUUGGAUUUCAUGAGUUUUUUUGAGAUUCGAAAUGUGGGUCCCACUAUCAAUUUUUAAAAUGAAUUUCGAAUUUUAAUACGGAAUAUUAGUAAUUUCAUAUGAAAUUAAUUCCUACAAUUCGUAUUGAGUAUAUUGAAUUGUCUGUGACUAGAUUUGAAGCAUUCGUACUCGAAUUCGCGAGGCAAAGGUUUAUUGGAAUCUUGAAUUUGGUUGCGAAGCGAGGUAAGUAUCUUGCCUAACCUUGAGUAGGGGAAUUACCCCUUAGACAUUGAGUCUUAUGUGGAAAUUAUAUAAUUGAAAAUCAUGUACGCGAGGUAACGAGUACGUACUUGGUUUAUAUGUGCAAAUUAUAUCGGUUGAAAUUUGUAUACGCCUUUAAGUAUUAAAUUGGAAAAUUAUUGGAACUUAGUAAAUCCUUGGAUUUGUCAUGCCCCAUUCCUUGUUUGCCAAGUUUGUAUUUUAUAUGAUAAUUUGGUGUAAUUGCCACUUGAAUUUUUAUGUGAAUUCUUGUUGAUUUGAUAUUUUCUUGGAAUUAAAUUCAUUAUGGAUUUCUUAUAUGUAAGUAAUCAUUAAAUAAGUCUAAAAGGAGGCGUUAGCAUAAUUAUCUAAAAAUUGGAUUAAAGAAGGCGUUGUCCUAUGUUGAGUUACUUUUCCAUCUCUGUUGUUGUGUUGAAGUUUAUAUUUGUUGUGUGGAGCCUUGGGCUAUUUGUUGAGAAAUUUAUUGAUUUUGUUAUAUCUUUGGAAUUGGUUGUGGCUUAUGGGCAAAAUCGUGGUAUGAAUUAUUGUAUUGUGUUGUCGUGAUAAUAUUUUGUGUAAAUUGUAGUAUGAUUGGAGUUAUUAUUCUGAGGAAAUAAGGGUGGCAUUCCACUGUUGACAUUAUGUAGGUAUAAGGGUGGCAUUUUACUGUGCUUAUGUGUGUUGGGAUACUGGCUGGGCGGAGUGAUAAGUGUGGCAACAGGAGCGAUAAGGGCGGCUAUAGGAGCGAUAAGGGUGGCUGUUGAUAUUCAAGAGCGGAGGGAUAAUGGUGGCUACUAUUAUGGAGUGAUACAGGUGGCUACAGGAGAGAUAAGAGUGGCUAGUGUCAGGGAUGAUAUGUUAUGAUGUGGGAUUAUUGUGUUGAUAAUUUUUAUGUGUUGUUGUGAUUUUCCUUGUGGUUAACCUUAUAUUUUGUGUAACUUGUCUUGUUGUUUCUGUAAACUUGAUAAUAGCCUGAUCUAUGUUGAAAUUGUGAGCAUGUGGCUAUUGCUGGGCAUAUAAUAUUAUAUGGGAUUGGGUUGCACGCUGCAACAGAGAUGAUAUGUGGGCACGAGGUGCCGAAAAAAUAUGAUGGUUUUUAUUAUUGGUACGUGAACUGUGCAUGCAGAUGUGAUAUGAAAUGUGGGCACGUGGUGCCGGGAAAAAAUAUGAUAUUUUUUAUUAUUGGCACGUGAACUGUCCGUGCAGAUGUGAUAUGAAAUGUGGGCACGAGGUGCCGAGAAAAAUAUGAUGGUUUUAAUUAUUGGCACGUGAAAUGUCCGUACAAAUGUGAUAUGAAAUGUGGGUACUAGGUGCCGAGGAAAAUAUGAUGAUUUAAUUAUGCGCACGAAGUGCCGUGGAAAUAUGAAAGUGGGCUGAGACCCGUGUUAUGAAAAAUAUGAAAGUGGGCUGAGACCCGUAUUUUAUGAUUAUGAAAUGUGGUGUCAUAGGGUGACUUUUAUUUGAAAGAAUUUUAUUCAAAAUAUUUAUUUGGAAGGAUUUUAUUCAAAAUAUUAUUUGAAAGAAUUGUAUUCGAAAGAUAUUUAUUUGAAAGAAUUAUAUUUGAAGGAUAUUUGUUUGAAAGAAGUAUAUUCGAAAUACAUUUGUUGGAAAGGAUUAUGUUCUAGAGAUUUCCAUUGAAAGCUUAUAGAUGAAAGAUGUAUAUUUUGAAGGACUUGAUUAUUGAAUGUACUUGUGUUCAUUAUCUAUUUGAGCAAUAUUUAAGGAGUUCUUGUUGCCUUGUUGUUUAUAUCACUAGUUGAUUUUGUUGCUAUCUGUGAUGACCCAAAAGGUCAUCUUAUAUUUUAGAACUUGAAUCUGCACUCUUAAGCCUUAAACAAAUCUCAUUUUUACCUUCCUCGAUUUGCGUACACAGUCCAAGCACGUUUUCGAAAAGCUUUUAUGUUGAAAACUAAUAAAAAUAAGAAUGUUUGUCUUAAAAGUUGAUUUUAGUUGACUUUGGUCAAUAUUUUUAGUAAACGGGCCCGGAUCCGUAAUUUGACGGUCUUAGUAGGUCCGUAUCAAAUUAUGGGACCUGGGCGUAUGCCCGAAAUCGAAUUCGGAGGUCCCUACCUUGAGUUAUGAAUUUUUGAUGAAAAUUAAAAGUUUGGAAAUUAUUUAUUUUUAAGAAUUCAUUGAUAUUUGGCAUUGUUAGUAUCGGGUCCGUAUUGUAGUUCCGGAGCCCGGUACAGGUUCAUUAUGAUAUUUAAGACCUGUCUGUGAAAUUUGGUGAGAAACGGAGUUGAUUUGACAUGAUUCGGACGUUCAGUUAAGAAAAUAGAAAUUUUUAAAGUGUUUUUGAGAAUUUCAUUUGAUUUGAUACUAAAUUUGUAGUUCUAGGUGUUAUUUUGGAAAUUCGAUCGCGCGAGCAAGUUUGUAUGAUAUUUUUAGACUUGUGUGCAUGUUUGGUUUGGAGCCCCGAGGGCUCGGGUGAGUUUUGGAUAGGCUACGGAAUGAGAUUUGGCUUGGAAAACACUGCUGGUGCAUCUGAUAUUAUUGCAGGCCUCUGAUCUCGCAUUUGCAAGAUCAGGCAUCGCAAUUGCAACCUCUGAGAGGUUCGCAUUUGCGAGCUUCUCAUCGCAAAUGCGAAGAGAAGCUAGGUCAAUAGUUUUCGCAUUUGCGAAGGGAGUCGGGGAAGGGCAGUGAUCGCAAAUGCGAUCAUUUAGUCGCAUUUGCGAAGAUUCAAAGGUCGCAUUUGCGAACUUAUCUUCGCAUUUGCGAAGGCAGCAGAAGUGUGAAGGGCUUCGCAUUUGCGAAGCUCAGGUCGCAAAUGCGACAUCUGCAACUGAUCAAAAUAACUUUUGGACGGGAAUUUUUAUUCAUUUCCCAAAUUUCCAAGACCUAAAAAACAAGAGGCGAUUUUACAAAGAUCAUUUCUUCCCCAAAUCAUAGGUAAGUGAUUCUAAACUGGUUUCUUUUAAUCUUUCACUACAUUUUGCAAGAUUUCAACCUAAAAUCUAAGGUUUUCAUGGUAGAAUUAGGGGUUUUGGGUAGAAACUAGGGAUUUCGGAAAUUUGGGGAUUUAGACCUCAAUUUGAGGUCGGAUUCCAAAACCAAUUAUAUAUUCGUGCUCGGGGGUGAAUGGGUAAAUAGAUUUUGGUCCGAACCUCGGGUUUUGACCAAGCGGGCCCAGGGUCGAUUUUUGACUUUUUGGAGGAAAAUUUGGAAAAUCUAAAUUUAUGCAAUGUAAUUGAUUCCUUUAGCUAUAUUUGAUAUUAUUGAGUCAUUUUUGAAUAGAUACGAGUAUUUGGAGGUGAAU